UACGUAGGGAGCAAGCGUUAUCCGGAUUUAUUGGGUGUGAAGGGUGCGUAGACGGGAAUGCAAGUUAGUUGUGAAAUCCCUCGGCUUAACUGAGGAACUGCAACUAAAACUACAUUUCUUGAGUGCUGGAGAGGAAAGUGGAAUUCCUAGUGUAGCGGUGAAAUGCGUAGAUAUUAGGAGGAACACCAGUGGCGAAGGCGACUUUCUGGACAGUAACUGACGUUGAGGCACGAAAGUGUGGGGAGCAAACAGG
rnacentral:rRNA from 1 species